GGAAGACUCUGGGGUCUUGGAGAGCUUGGACUCUCUUUGGUUCUUCUCCAAUGUGUUGUCGACAAUAACUCAGCCAAUGGGUGAGGGAAACACAACCAAAGAAGACCCAACAGAACCCUCCAAGCCAAUAGUCCAGACCCAGCAAAAUGAGUCGCGAAAUCCAGCAUUUGACUCCCCCAGAUGCCCCAAAUGUUGUGAAUUUAGUGCAGAAAGUGAGCCACUGAGGGUUGAAGUGCGGCAGAAUACCAAUGAAGAAGCGGAAACUCCAAAGACAACAAAGAAAAAGGAGAUCAGAAGUAAGAGGAGAAAGAGAAAGAGCAAGAGAAAGGUACUGGGAGAACUUGACUUGGCCAUUGAAGAGAGAUACCUUUGGGAUUGGGAGUUGAAUAGUAACAAGCAGGCAUGUGGAUAUGGCAUGUUUGGAAUUGGAAGCGAAAAACAUUUGGUGAAGAUGCCACCAUUAAGUGAUGGAAUGGCCAUGAAAGAGCAUCUCAAGUGUUGGGCUUAUGCAGUCGCCUGCAUGGUCAGAUAAAAUAUUAGUUUCAGUUCAAGGUGGUGUGCUUCUUUGGUCUAACUCUUAGAACAAUGUAUUGUCUCUUAUAAAGUAAUCUCUAAUUUUAUUUUCUUCUUUUCUUUCUCUUCUAAUCUUUGUAAUAUUAGGAUGUGAUUAAGUAGUUUUGAUGUAGAAAAGGUCCUGCUAAUGUGGUAAGUGAUUUUAGCUGUUUAUUUCCUUCUCUUUACUGUUUUCUAUGAUCCAAGAAAUGAGAGUUAGCAUCUCGUGGCUUUGGCCGAGUGGUUAAGGCGCUUGCCUGCUAAGUAAGUGGGGUUUCCCCGCGUGAGUUCGAAUCUCACAGGCCACGAAUUAACUUUUUGCUGUUUUUAACCCCCCG
rnacentral:tRNA from 1 species